UUGUCGAAUCCUGCAAAGCAGACAACCGCGAACUCGUGUAACUCUCGGGCGCGGGGGUCGGGGGGCAACCCCCUCUCCCCGUCGCUCCCCGUGCGCCCGUCGCACGGUAUUAACUAAACCCCGGCGCGGAAAGCGCCAAGGAAUACGUAACGGAUUGCCCGCCUCUCGUUGCCCCGUUCGCGGUGCGCAAUGGGGGUGCUGCGGCGUCUAUCUUAACCAAAACGACUCUCGGCAACGGAUAUCUCGGCUCUCGCAUCGAUGAAGAACGUAGCGAAAUGCGAUACUUGGUGUGAAUUGCAGAAUCCCGUGAACCAUCGAGUCUUUGAACGCAAGUUGCGCCCGAAGCCGUUAGGCCGAGGGCACGUCUGCCUGGGCGUCACGCAUCGCGUCGCCGCCCCCACUCUUCGUUGGAGGCGGCGGAUAUUGGCCUCCCGUGCCUCCGCGCGCGGCCGGCCUAAAUGCGAGUCCUCGGCGAGGGACGUCACGACAAGUGGUGGUUGAACCCUCAACUCGAGUCCUGUCGUGCCGAUGCCCGACGCCGUUUUACGGGCUCUCUUGACCCUUGAGCACGCGUCACCGACGCGGGCCUCGACCGCGACCCCA
rnacentral:rRNA from 1 species